CACAACCAGAAGAAAAUCCCACCCAUUUACUCCUCAUUAUGAAUUUUCAGUUCCUGUUGACAAGAGAGGAUAGCUGAGCACCGACUAGUAGAAAUCCAAGCCUCGUGUAAGUGGAGAAAACAAUACAGGGAUGGCCAAAAUUCCCAAAUCUGCCUCAGCACAGAAUGUCACCUUGGAAACUGGUCUAGACUUGGGAAACAUAUCUAGAACACACGAUGACAUCUCAGCUAGCCACGUCAGGGACUACAGGUGGCUGGCCAUUGGCAGCAUAAUCUGUGGAAUCUCCUGCAUUGGCAUCAGUGCUCUGAUUAACUCCGUCAAGGUGCAGGAAAGGAGAGAAUCAGACCCGGAAAAGGCCCAAGUAUACUCUGAUAAUGCCAGAAAACUCAGCCUCAUUGCUAUUGCAGUGUGGGUAGGACUCAUCAUUCUCAUCCCAAUGCUGAUGGCAUUGCUAUCAUAUCUCUUCACCCUACAAGACUAACCAAGUGUUUCUCAAUCCUGGUCUCUGGGGGAACACUGCACUGUAUUUUCAGCUGAGCUCUCAAUUAGUUUAGUUUUAGUUAGAGUUUUUAUACUUUGAAUACUUGAAUUGAAUACUUAACUACUGACUGCCUGCUGUGAUAUACUGUUGCAAUUUGCUCAAACAAGAGGAUACGAGUAUAGUUAUCUUUGGAUUAGAACACUGAAAUUUCACUUCAUGAAGAGACAGGGGAUAAAUGAGCCCAUUGGUAAUUACAGUAAUAAUGAACAGCUACCUCAAGGGGCAGAUAUUGACAAAUGUUUGACCGUUUCAUAUUUCAGUAAAAAUUCCAUUAACAUUUCUUUCAAAAAUAUUUCAGUACAAUGUUAAUCGUAGAGAUGUUAAAUAUUUCAGUACAAUGUUAAUCAUAGAGAUGUUAAAUAUUUCAGUACAAUGUUGACUUAACAGUUCAGUCAGACCUAAAGCUCACUACACAGACCAUCCAUGCCCCAUUGAUCAGGGAUGUGGGAUGCUCUCCAUUCUGAUCCAGCGGAGGACUUACCGAACCACAGUAAUUAUAGAUCCACUUACAGCCACAGCCGCAUUCCAAGUUUAUCAUCAUCAUUGGGCCAAAAUAUUAAGAAGGAAGCUAUUUCUGCGACUGAUUCAUUUGUCCCAUAACUGUAAAGAAUCACCUACAAGUAAUUUCAUUUAAUAAGAAAUGGAUUGCAUGUAACACUUGUUUCUCUGGUUUAUCAGAGUAGACCUUGAAUUGUCUAAAUUCAUUGCAACACGUGUUUGUGUACAUAUAGAUGAAUAUAUAAACAGAAAAAUUCUCUCUAUUUUGGUAUCAGGAUUUCUUAGGAUUAGGGAUUCUUUAUUUGUUAUAGUUACUUUUCUCCUGCACACCCCAGUAGAUGAAAAGCACUGUAGAGCUGCUUUCAUUACAUUACAUUUACAUUACAUUCAUUUGGCAGACGCUUUUAUCCAAAGCGAUGU